GUUUAACAAAAACAUGUCUUUUUGAUUAUAAUUUAAAGUCUGGCCUGCCCAAUGAAUAAUUUAAAUGGCCGCGGUAUACUGACUGUGCAAAGGUAGCAUAAUCAUUAGUUUUUUAAUUGAAAGCUGGAAUGAAAGGUUGGAUGAAAAAAUAACUGUCUCUGUUUAAAUUAAUUAGAAUUUUAUUUUUAAGUGAAAAAGCUUAAAUAAAAAUAAAAGACGAGAAGACCCUAUAGAGUUUUAUAUUUUUAUAGAAGUAUGAUUUUUAGAAUUUAGUGUUUAUAUUUCUAAAAAUUAUUUAAUUGGGGUGAUUGAAAAAUUAAAAAAACUUUUUUUACAUUUUUACAUUUAUUUAUGAGAAUAUGAUCCUUAAAUUAAGAUUACAAGAAUAAAUUACCUUAGGGAUAACAGCGUAAUUUUUUUUAAGAGUUCUAAUCGAAAAAAAAGAUUGCGACCUCGAUGUUGGAUUAAAA
rnacentral:rRNA from 1 species